rnacentral:rRNA from 1 species
UCNUCUGGCUUAACUGGGGGCUUGCGGUGGGUACGGGCCGGCUNGAGUGCGGUAAGGGAGACUGGAACUCCUGGUGUAGCGGUGGAAUGCGCAGAUAUCAGGAAGAACACCGGUGGCGAAGGCGGGUCUCUGGGCCGUUACUGACGCUGAGGAGCGAAAGCGUGGGGAGCGAACAGGAUUAGAUACCCUGGUAGUCCGCGCCGUAAACGUUGGGCACUAGGUGUGGGGGGCCUUUUCCGGGUUUUCCGCGCCGUAGCUAACGCAUUAAGUGCCCCGCCUGGGGAGUACGGCCGCAAGGCUAAAACUCAAAGGAAUUGACGGGGGCCCGCACAAGCGGCGGAGCAUGCGGAUUAAUUCGAUGCAAUGCGAAGAACCUUACCAAGGCUUGACAUGUGCCGGUCGGCUCCGGAGACGGGGUUUCCUCCUUGUGGGGCCGGUUCACAGGUGGUGCAUGGUUGUCGUCAGCUCGUGUCGUGAGAUGUCGGGUUAAGUCCCGCAACGAGCGCAACCCUUGUCCCGUGUUGCCAGCACGUUGUGGUGGGGACUCGCGGGAGACUGCCGGGGUCAACUCGGAGGAAGGUGGGGAUGACGUCAAAUCAUCAUGCCCCUUAUGUCUUGGGCUUCACGCAUGCUACAAUGGCCGGUACAGAGGGCUGCGAUACCGUGAGGUGGAGCGAAUCCCUUAAAGCCGGUCUCAGUUCGGAUCGGUGUCUGCAACUCGACACCGUGAAGUUGGAGUCGCUAGUAAUCGCAGAUCAGCAACGCUGCGGUGAAUACGUUCUCGGGCCUUGUACACACCGCCCGUCACGUCAUGAAAGUCGGCAACACCCGAAGCCCGUGGCCC